AAAAAAAAAAAAAAAAAGAACUGAGAGUAGUACAUGACAUAAAAAGUAUUUCAGAGGAUUUAAUCAUUUAGUACGGAGAAAGAGAAUUAAUACAAUCCACCCUAAAUUUUUUAAGAUAAAGAUUCAGUUGAGUUAUGUAACCUUAUUGAAAUUCAGUGACCAAGUUCACUGACAAUGAGCUAUGAAAAAGUUGCCAACUUCCAAAUAAUUCCUAACUUAUUGCCGAAUCAAUGAAUAAAUGAAUUAAAAAAACACAUGAAAUUUGAAGCACCAGCAAUAAAAUUAUAAAGAAAAAUAAAAAAGCAUGGACAAAAAUGGAAAAAGGAAAGGGAAGAAGGGGGGUGGGUAAUGUACAGUGUCCCAAAUCUGCAGCUUGAUGGGUCAGCCAUCGAUGGUUGCCAUACGAGCACCAAACUCAACACCGAUAGUGAGAUCGUGUACGGGUUGAAACCUCUUAUCCGUGAAUUGCAAG
rnacentral:misc_RNA from 1 species